UUUUUUUUUUUUUUUUUCCCCUUCACCGGAGGCCACUAGAUUUUUCCAGACAAUAUUUGGAAGGCUGAAAUCACAAAUCACAGACAAAAAUCACAGACAAAAAUAGAUCUUGGCAUUUUACAUAUUCAUUCUGACCCGAUCAAGAGAGAUGGGUGAACACAGUGAUGUUUAUUUGUCUGCUCUAUGGAAUUCAGAAGAAUUUUGAAGCCGUUGCUUUUGAAUGUUGGCGAGUAAGAACAGUAUUUAUAUUGGACAGCUUUAUUCUCUUUCUACUGUUUCUGGACAAGCAGUGUGGACCCAGUAAACACUCCUGAAUUUCAGCCUGACUCUGAGGCUCAGUUUGACACGGGAAUUAAAGCUGGCCUCUCAUUGCCUCAGUAGGAGGAUGAAUUAACUGAACUUUACAAAUUACCAGGAAGGAAAGUAUUAUUUGCCAGGGACUCCACAGUCUUCUCUUCUUGCAUGGCCUGCGUUACAUGCGUGGGCAUCUCCACCCACGCCUUCCUGUCUGGGCUGAAAGGUGACGAGUGGGGAGAGCACCUCAUGAAAGCUUCCUUGGAGGUACCAGAAUCUUCUGUCACCUGUGGUUCUUUGAAGCACAGAGUCCUGGCUUCCUGUUUAUGUCACUGUGCCUGGAAGGAGAGAGCUAAUGGGGCUACUAGUGGUUCUUAGGGUAGGCGGAGAAAUUUCCUGUGACUUCCUGUAACUUCUUCUGUCAAGGGACUGCCUCCUAGCACACAGCCUGCUGAUGUCUCAUUAUGGUUCAAAGAAGAGGUCAAAGACAACGGGCCCUGCUUGGCUACCACCAGAUCUGUGCUCAAAGGCCGUACCAUGUGAGCCCGAGGCUCCGGCUUUAAAUUUAAAUUCCCUUCCUUAAAAUGCCCUAGUUCUGUCUGCGUUGGUGUUCCUGUUAGAGAGAUGGAUUCCAUUCAACAGCCAGCAGUGUAUGGAUUCCCGUGUGUUCCAGCGAUGGUUUACAAGUGGGUCCGUGGAGAGAGCCACGGAUAAAUAGGCCCAAGAUUGGAAUAGGAGCUUUUCAGGCACAUGCGCACCUAUGUACACAGGAGAUACACAGGCACACAAACACACAUGGACACACAAACACACACAGACACACAUACACAUCAUUUUUUUUUUUUAUUGUAUCUAGCAGCACACAUGUCAAAGCCUCCCUAGGGUUAUACACCCAGGAAACAUACAAAAAUGUUCCCAGCAGUGCUUUUUGAUAUAGGAAAACAACCGGAAACGAGGCAAAUGGCCUUUGGUAGGAAAGCAAAUAACCAAAGUGUGACACAUUUCACCUACUAU
rnacentral:lncRNA from 1 species